AGCGAACGCUGGCGGCAGGCCUAACACAUGCAAGUCGAACGAAGUCUUCGGACUUAGUGGCAGACGGGUGAGUAACGCGUGGGAACCUUCCCUGUGGUACGGAAUAACUGACCGAAAGGUUAGCUAAUACCGUAUACGUCCGAGAGGAGAAAGAUUUAUCGCCAUAGGAUGGGCCCGCGUCGGAUUAGCUAGUUGGUGAGGUAAAGGCUCACCAAGGCGACGAUCCGUAGCUGGUCUGAGAGGAUGAUCAGCCACACUGGGACUGAGACACGGCCCAGACUCCUACGGGAGGCAGCAGUGGGGAAUAUUGGACAAUGGGCGCAAGCCUGAUCCAGCCAUGCCGCGUGAGUGAUGAAGGUCUUCGGAUUGUAAAACUCUUUCGCCGGGGAAGAUAAUGACGGUACCCGGAGAAGAAGCUCCGGCUAACUUCGUGCCAGCAGCCGCCGUAAGAC
rnacentral:rRNA from 1 species